rnacentral:rRNA from 1 species
ACGUUAUUCGGAAUCACUGGGCUUAAAGCGCGUGUAGGCGGGUCGCCACGUCGGUCGCUGAAAUCCCCCGGCUCAACCGGGGAAGUGGCGCCGAUACGAGCGACCUGGAGGGAGGUAGGGGGGGCUGGAACUUCCGGUGGAGCGGUGAAAUGCGUUGAGAUCGGAAGGAACGCCCGUGGCGAAAGCGAGCCCCUGGACCUUUUCUGACGCUGAGACGCGAAAGCUA